rnacentral:lncRNA from 1 species
AGUGUCUGUGUUCUGGAAAUGGGAGUAUAUGUUUCCAUCCUACUUACUGGGCCAGUAAGUUUCAAAAGAAAAUAGUGGGUGAUGACUUUAGCUUGGGACAGCUGGGUUCUGGGGAUUUUUAUUUUAUUUUAUUUUUUUAAAAUUUCAUCUAAACAUUCUGAAGUCAGGGAUCUUCUAAGGGUGCAGUAGGUCUGUACUAACCAUGAAAAUCUGACUUGAAAUUUGCACUCUGUACUUGGGUACAUCUCUUGGGCACAUCCUGCUCAGACAGGACAAGAUCUAAGGCUUUAAGGACUUCCUAACACUGGGGCCGGAGGUUUCCUGUGGAGCUGGUUAACAGAAGUACCUGCACGAUGUGGGAGAGGUUGUCUGGUCUCUCUGAAUGCAGGGGCUAAAGUGAAGAAACCGCUCCCCUUGUGGCCCACCCUGAGGUCAGGGUGUGGAGGAGUCCACCUGGCUGUGAAUUGGGAGCCCUUGGGGAUGGCUAUGACCUGUUCUCUUGCUUAGUGGUGCCUCAGGCACUCUGUCAUUUCGUGGUGGGAUACUCAGGUUGCCUUCAGUCCUUCGAGCUGGUCUUUCCUUUGAAGCCUGAUGACAAGAGUUCCUGAGUUUGUCUGCAACUCAGAGGCAACUUUAAAAGAGAAGUUAGAGGGGAAGCGGCUAUCUGGGAACAUGGUGAAUGUUUGGUGAGAUCACUCGGUGCUUCCCGUAACUUCCUCUUAUGUGCACACCUGGCGGUAGGAAAUACUUGAGGGUUUUUUCCACUAGCAAAUGAGAGCUUCAAGGGCUUGGUGCCGACCGCUGUUCUCAAGCCCUGGCCAGUUACCACUGUCUAUUUUAUCAGCCUGUGUGCACAUUUAUAAAGGGGCAGUUCAGUUUGGAGCCCAGGCACCAAGGGCUUUGUUUUAAGGCUUUGUUAAAAACUGGAGCCCACAUCCCUUCUUUCCGUUGAUGCCAUCCAUACCCAGAUCUCAAGGCAUAUGUGUUAAAUGCCAAAGUACAAUUUGUGCAUUGGUCUUUAAAAAAAUAAUUCUUAUCUGCAUGUAUUAGUUAACUGAUGAACUCCACUUGUUAGAACUGGGAAGAAAACCACUUCAUGGUUGUUGUUUUUUUGUUUUUCCGAGACAGGGUUUCUCUGUGUAGCCCUGGCUGACCUGGAACUCACUCUGUAGACCAGGCUGGCCUCAAACUCAAAAGAUAUAGAAGGUAUCCUCCUCACUGGGUACAGCAAUCAAACUUCUCACCACAGAACUGGCUACCAGCUACUGCAAAGAAAAACUGCAGAUGGGUCAACGUGGUUGACCUUACCAUUUCGUAGG